GGGAUAGAAUUCCAGGAGUAGCGGUGAAAUGCAUAGAUAUCUGGAGGAAUACCAAAGGCGAAGGCAGUCCCCUGGUCCGAUACUGACACUGAGGUACGAAAGCGUGGGGAGCAAACAGGAUUAGAUACCCUGGUAGUCCACGCCCUAAACGAUGUCGAUUAGCCAUUGGAAGGACCCCUUUUCCUUUCAGUGACGUAGCCAACGCGUUAAAUCGACCGCCUGGGAAGUACGACCGCAAGGUUAAAACUCAAAGGAAUUGACGGGGACCUGAACAAGCGGUGAAUGAUGUGGAUUAAUUCGAUGCUACGCGAAGAACCUUACCUACCUUUGACAUGGCCAAAGUUCUACCGAGAGGCGGAAGUACUCGUAAGAGGAUUGGCGCACAGGUGCUGCAUGGUUGUCGUCAGUUCGUGUCGUGAGAUGUUGGGUUCAGUCCCGCAACGAACGCAACCCUUAUCUUUAAUUGCUCCUAUUUUAACAGGCACUUUAAAGAAACUGCCAAUGAUAAGUUGGAGGAAGGUGGGGAUCACGUCAAGUCCGCAUGGCCUUUAUAGGUAGGGCUUCACACGUCAUACAAUGGUUAGAACAAAGAGCUGCAAAUUCGUAAGAAGGAGCCAAUCUCACAAACCUAACCUCAGUUCGAAUUGCGGUCUGCAACUCGAGCGCAUGAAGCCGGAAUCGCUAGUAAUCGUGGAUCAGAAUGCCACGGUGAAUACGUUCUUAGGUCUU
rnacentral:rRNA from 1 species